GGUUAUGGCUCAGUUGUAGAGUACUUGCCUAGCCUGUGCAAGGUCCCAGGUUCAAUUCCUAGCACCA
rnacentral:tRNA from 1 species